rnacentral:lncRNA from 1 species
AAGAUUCGUCUGGGUAAAACAGAGAACAUCGUCAACCGUUCACAUUCGUUAGUGCUGGAAUGCUGGAUCCGGGUCACGCUUGUGCGGUGGGUGAAGAGAUUGACAGUGACUGCGAGCUUGACUCGUGGGUAAAAUCGUGCGUACCAGGGAACUGGAAGGCCUCAAAGAUCAUCAUUGUCACUCAUCGUGAAGAGUAAUAUUUCUGUUUUUCAAUUCUGUUUGCAUGAAGG